UUUUUUUAACGAGGAUCCGAGCCUCGCUUGCUGUUGUCAGAGCAAAACACUUCUGCCGCUUAAAGUCAGAUCUACGUCUUUUGCAAUAAUACUAAAAAAAAAAAAAGAAGGAUAAAUAAUUGCCUUAAAGCCUCAGCCGAACUGCCAACCACACCUUCGGAUGGGACAUUCCUCGCAGCAGCAGUGUUAGACGCCGAAUUGAAGAAAAUCCUGGAGUUGAACAUAUCUUCGGGGUUAGAAGGCAGAAAUAUGUGAACUGCUGAGAGAGGUGGGUACUUUUUGUUCUAGUUUCAGACCUGUCCUAACCCUGUGGUGCCUGCAAGAGGUGCAUGAGGAGGGGAAUAUUGAGGGAAUGCUGCUCGGGACGUGUUUGGCUUCUCCGGACCUUGUCUGGGUUUAAUCACAGGCUUUGGGACAAAAUGUGCAUUAUUAAGAAGUAUAAAUAUUUUCAGAAGCAAUCAAAGGGUUGAAAGAUUGAUUCGGCAUGUAGAUUGGAUUUAAUUCGAAGCAGCUUUGUUCUAAUGAGGACUACUGGGAUACAAAGACGGCAGCCGCUUAUGGCCACCAGUUGGGAACUUCCACUCGCUGCAGCAACCUGUCAAGAAUUCCAAGGAACUGCCAGGGUAAAAUUGCCUGCAGGGUACGUUUGCUGGAGCCUGUGAAUUCCUCCUGAGGUCAGUGGGUACCGGGUGCUGGGCAGCACAGCCUCUCCUGACCGGGCACGGUGGGCUCCAGCUGCUUCCCAAGAGACAGGGACAGUGAUGAAGAACGUGGGAUUUCCCACAGGAAUUUGGAAGAUGCCCAUGUCUAAGGCAAUGGUGAGGAUUGGGCCAAAAUCCAGCCUUGAUUCCUUCAUCCAAGUGACCCUGUGCUGACCCAUGGCUGCUGAUGGAUCGCAGCGACGUGGACCUUCCUCCCUCCCUCCCUCCUCGCUGCCCUGCAUCAGAUCACCAGGAGCACCUGAAAGCACUGGAUGAGCCAUCACAAGACCAUGAUUGGAAAGCAGGGGGACCAAGCACUCAAAGGUGGCAGAUGCAGCAGGUUCCCUGGCCCUGAGCUCAGCUCUUGCUCAUGGCACAAGAGGCCAGAGGUGGGAACUCUUUCUGUCUUGGCUACUCCUCAUCAGUGCUUUGAGCUGAACAAAGCCCUGAGAACCAAGGAAACACGAGUGCACCACCAGGGAUUUGCUCCUCUCUGCACCUGAAGCACAGCACAAAGUUACACCCUUUGCUUCUGCAGAUUCCUGAUGCUAAAGGUCUGACCUUAAAAUGAGCAGUGCAUAGGGCAAGAGUGGGUACUGCAGUGAGCUUCUGGCCUUCAACCCUUCCAAAUACAGCUAUUUUGGUAACCAGAACACUAUAUUCACCAUGGGUGAGGGAACAGAGCCUUUCAGUGCUGGGCUUCUCGGCACAUUAACUCUCUCAGUGCUGGAUUCUGGGUCCCUGUGUGAGUUGCCUGUGCCUAUUUAAGACCAUAAAUACAGAUUUGCAGAAGCCUGCAGCAUUUUGUAACUUCAUGGUUGUGUUUUAGUGCCUGAUGCACCCAAAAACUGGAUUGAAUCCUGUGGAUUUCCAUGUGGAUCUGGGAAGGACUGUAAUCACACGCAGCUGAGAGUGGCUCAGACUUGGAUUUCUGGUUGGCAGGAGAGGCACAGCCUGGUUUGCUACAAUGCAACUGUCCUCAUUAAUGUUCCUCAAGCCCUGAUGUACUGGGACCGCCAUGGUUGGGUCAGAAGAUGGCUGAGUUUUCCAGGCUCAUUCUCUUGUCUUCAGAAUGUUAAAUUGGGUGAUAAUGAGUAGUAACUGUGUCCUUUUUUAUGGUGAAGUUGACACUUGCCUUCUAGUAAACAGACACAGAGAUGACCCUCCUCAUUUCGCACAGGUCACCAAACAGCCCUGGAAUAGUAGGGGUUAUUGGCCAUUUACCAAACUCUGUUUGACUUGGGUUCAUGGGUGAGAGAUGAAAGGCUCUAUAUUGCAUUACCAAUCCCUGGGGCCAGCCAGUCUCCCUAAAGAAGCAUUUCAUUUAGCAAGGCAACUGCUGGCCCAUGGGAAUCCGAGACUCGGGAAAAAGAGGACACAGUUUCAAUUGCAAAUGUUUCCUCAGGGCAGAUGUCUUAAAGCCACACAGAAACUCACUGCUUCAGUGUCACAAUAGUUGCUCCAGGACACUUAAUGACCAGCAGAUUUUCCCCUUUAAUUAAUCUCCCCUUUUUCCCAAGAAAACAUCCGUUAGGUUCCUUGUGGUUUUUCUGCCUCUGCCCUGCUGCUCUGUCCAUCUCCCUGGGGCAAGACCAUUGCAGUGGUUGUGAACUGUUACCUUUUCCAAGAGCUUCAAAAUUGAAACAGAUGAAGCAAGGAGCCCUGGUAACACACUUAAAGGUUUUGGGCUCUUGGGGGGAGAAAUGAGUACUCCUGAAGUGCCCAAAUAUUUUCCUUACCCUAGAGCAAAGAUGCUGACUGAUUUUCUUGGUUAUAGUAGAGUGGUCAUUGGGGUAGUCCAAGUGAUGCCUUUUUUACAGAUAAUGGAUGUGGUGAUUGAUGGCUACAGGAAGAAGAAUAUUUGAUUCAGACCAAGAAUUCAACCCAGACUUGUCCUGAUUUUCCUAUGAUCUGAAAAUCCAGUGUUGUUCCAAAUUCAUUAUCACUGAUUAAAAUCCCUUUUCAGUUUCCCCCCUCUCUGUUUGUGAUGUGAGUCAUGAGACAUUCAGAAGUUGCAUUUGUUGUUUGAUAGUUUUACAUCAUAGUUGUAAUAGUGCAUCUGCCAAGUCAGCAGGUCCUUCUCUGUGUUUGUUUAUUUGUUUACCACUCCAUUUCCAGCAAGUUCUUGUUACCCAAUUCCUGCUGACAACAGAGGAAGAGGCACAAGUCAGCUCAGAAAAUGAACGACUAGAAGGUAAGUGAAAAGAAUAGUAAACACAGGCCAUUCAUGUAACAGGAUCCGAUUCAUUUUUAUGCCAGGGAGAUUUUUUAAAUGGGACUUCUCCCAGUGGAGAGCUCUCAGUGCUCAAGGCCUGUUUCACUAAAAAGACAAUACAUAAUUAUUCUGAGCUUAUUAUUAUAUUUUUAUCACUGUUUUUCCAGUUGCAAGGAGUGAGGGCAGAGAUGAGAUCAGGACCAGAUCAUUGUGCAGCUCACAGGGCUGCAGGACCCUGUGGAGGUAAAUGCACCCAGGCUGAAGGUUCAGGUGACAGGUCUGAGAUGGGAGAAUCCAUCAAAAUCCAGCAAAAAUGGGGACUCAGCCUCCUGAGCUCCUCAGUCCUGGGCUCCUGCUGCUUGUUGCUUUCAGCAUCUUUUCCCUUCACACUUAUUUUGAAUCACCGAAAUGAUGAAUUGAAAAAAUGUCAUGUCAUUUGAAGCACUCUUUAUUGUAUUUAUAGGAAACAGAUUAUCUGUUCUCUGAGGAUAGUGGAAACUGAGUAUGAUGAGCUCAUCUGGAGAAAAUGUAGGUUGGGUGUGACAGAGAAACUUGUGUUUUAUACCUCAGUGACAUCUUAAUUUCUGGUUUUGGUAUGACAGACUCAGUGAUACUGAACCAUGCUGGUUCCUGCUUUCAGGCUGGGGUCACAAGUUGGACUUGGAAGAAGAAACUUCCAUGCAGAGAUGUGACUGCAGUGUGAAUACUGUGCCAGGUUUCUUUACAGAUGAAACCUGGAGUGUCCUAAAAUCCAGAAACUACUCAAUACCAGCAACUUCCACACCCCUGUGUGCUCCUGCCAUUGCUUUGAACCAGUUUAUUUAUUCAUUUGGGCUCUGAGCACUCGGAUGCAUUCCUUCUUGCUGCAACAGCAGGGGUACAGGAAGGGGUGUUUGAAGCCACGCAGUCAAUUCCACCCUGGAUUUCAGGAGGAGUUAUUCUUGUCUCAGGGAUGACGCAUUCAAAUAUCCCUCUACGGAUUCCAGUUCUCAGCCCAAGGGUCAUGGAUGGUGACAGCUCUCAUCUACUUUGGAGCUGUUCUAUCUUCUAAGAGAAAUCAGGAAGAUGAGUUGAGAGAGAUGCUUUACUUUCUUUGAUAAAACAAAUGGCCAGUUUUAGCCUAAUCAUCACUUCUGCCUGAGGAAAGAGAAACUCUUUGAGGUUUAUCUCUAAUUCUGUUGGAAUUGAUUGAAAUUAUUCCAUUGACUUCAGCAAACUCUCUUUCCUGCUGGAUCAAAGGCAAUAUUUGU